rnacentral:lncRNA from 1 species
AGACACUCCUGGCACUUGGCUUCCCGGGGGCUGCUCGCCCCCGGCCCAGAGGCCGGUUUCCAGCGGCAGGCCUUAUUCCACCAUCUUUGCAGCUUCCAAUUCUUUUCAUGUUAAGUUGUUUUUUGGAGAGAUAUAUAAAUUUAUUUUGGUGUUUCCUGUGAUCUCUGGGAUCCUGAUCCGCACCACUCAACUUUGGCCUCCUAAACUUCAUCCUUGACCCCACCCCAGGACCUCUUGACCAGAAUUUAUCCAGCACUCCAGCACGGCUUGCACGUUAUCUGGAGUAAAGAGACCUUCUGGGAUUUCAUCAGCCUCCUGUCCAUCAAGAGAGCCACAGCUAAGAACCUAGAAGGGUAGAAGCAAAAGAUUUUUUUCCUCCUGUAUAAUCCCAAUCCACUACUUAGUUCUUCCAGUUUUUGACUGACUGAAUUUUCAGUGAACUGUGUGUCUAACUGAAGCUUUGAGAGAGAGAGAGAGAGAAAGAAGGAAAAAAAGAAAAGGUUUUACUUCACUUGAACUUGUUAAAAAGGAAGAGACACAGAUCCAGCAUAGUAGAAGGAGAAAGAAAGCAGACAACAGUUUGGAAUGGAGGCAUUGAGACGGAAGAGUCCAUUGGAGAUGGAAUGUACACACAAAAAUAACAAUUUAGGUCCUUUGCUCAUGCAACAUCUUGUUCUAAUGUCCUCUGCUCCAGGUCACAACAUUGAGCUACAAAGUGUGUGCAGUGACUCCAGUCUGCAUUCAUGCUACAAGAUGAUCCGUUUAGUAAGACUGAGCAAGGCUUGUUAACCUCUUGGACGUGAGAGAUUUCCCCUGAGAAAAUAUAUAAAACAAGAGAAAAGAAAGAAAAUCAAGUACGAUCACUGAAAACCUGCUUAGUAGUAGCAACUAUUUACUGUAGCUGAUUUUUGUGCAAGGUCAACACUGAACCCUUUAAGUCCAUCUUAGUUCAAACCUCAUGACCAACCUGCCUUCCCCCCUCCCUCCCUCCACUGACACGUCAAACAAAACUAUCCUCCCUCCCUCCACCCUCCUACCCCUCCCAAAUCCUUCCUCCCCACUGCAAACAGACUGAUGGUUUCACAGCACAGAUUAGCAAAUCAUAAAACAUAUCCAUAAAUGCUCCAUCAAGGCUUAGCAAUGAAGCAACACCUAGGUUCCCAACUGAUUAUAAACAUGUUACAACAAAUCUUAGUAAGCUGCUCUGAAAGAUAAUGUGAGUGCAUUCUUGUUCAAUGGCUGAAAUUAAUGUCACAUUUAUAAAUAUCUAGAAAUGUAGAGGAUACGAUUUAAUUAAAUAAAAUGCAGUUUUUGAGGGUGUGAUUCAUGAAACUCAA